UAACUUAUACAAAGAAUCACUAUUGCCUAUAUUAACAAACAAGGUUUAAAAUUGAUCUAACAAAUUAAAAGACUGUCCAACAUUUUAAAGAACAAUUUUACUAAAGUAAAACUCGUUUAUCUAGUAAAUUAUGUGCCAGCAACUGCGGUUACACAUAAAGUAAAACAAAUCAAAUUAUAAAUAUCUAAACAAUCAAACAAAUUAACUCAUUGAAUAAGUAAAAUCCAUCAACGAAAUAACAUCAAAUCAUUGAAAUUUUCAAAAUUAAUACAUAAACCUGGAUUAGAUACCCAGCUAUAAUAGAAUCCCCCCCCGGUAGUCAAACUUAUUAAAACCAAUAAAGCUUGGCAGUUAUAAGUUAUUAGAGAAACUUGUUUUAUAAUUGUAAAUUCUCACUAAAUUUGACUUAUAUUUAAAGUUUAUAUACCGCCGUUUCUGAAGCAAUAACAACAAAAUAUCCAAACAAACAACCAUUAAAAAAUCAGGUCAAGGUAUAGCCAACAUAAAAGUAAAAAUUAGUUACACAUAAUAAUAAAUUAACGAAAAUUAUAUUAAAAUAUAGAUGGAAACAGAAUCUAAAAACAAUUAAAUAAUUAAAAAAUAAUAUUGAAAUUCAACCUAAUAAUGUACAUAUCGCCCGUCACCAUCUUCGUACCAACCCAAAGAUGUAAGUCGUAACAAAGUUGAGAUUUUGGAAAAAGUCUC
rnacentral:rRNA from 1 species